rnacentral:rRNA from 1 species
CUACGGGAGGCUCCAGUGAGGAAUAUUGCACAAUGGAGGAAACUCUGAUGCAGCAACGCCGCGUGGAGGAUGACGCAUUUCGGUGUGUAAACUCCUUUUAUAUGUCAAGAAAAUGACGGUAGCAUAUGAAUAAGCACCGGCUAACUCCGUGCCAGCAGCCGCGGUAGUACGGAGGGUGCAAGCGUUACUCGGAAUCACUGGGCGUAAAGGACGCGUAGGCGGGAUAUCAAGUCAGGUGUGAAAUCCUACAGCUUAACUGUAGAACUGCACUUGAAACUGGUAACCUAGAGUAUGGGAGGGGGAGAUGGAAUUAGUGGUGUAGGGGUAAAAUCCGUAGAUAUCACUAGGAAUACCUAAAGCGAAGGCGAUCUCCUGGAACAUAACUGACGCUAAGGCGUGAAAGCGUGGGGAGCAAACAGGAUUAGAUACCCGAGUAGUC